UACGUAGGGUGCAAGCGUUAAUCGGAAUACUGGGCGUAAAGCGUGCGCAGGCGGUUUUGUAAGUUUGUCGUGAAAGCCCCCGGGCUCAACCUGGGAAUUGCGAUGAAGACUGCAAGGCUUGAAUCUGGCAGAGGGGGGUAGAAUUCCACGUGUAGCAGUGAAAUGCGUAGAGAUGUGGAGGAACACCGAUGGCGAAGGCAGCCCCCUGGGUCAAGAUUGACGCUCAUGCACGAAAGCGUGGGGAGCAAACAGG
rnacentral:rRNA from 1 species